rnacentral:rRNA from 1 species
AUGAACGCCGGAGAUCCCCUGCUUCGCGCUACUCCCCUGCUCUGCCGCGCGUCCUCCGCCGCCGCCGCAGCUGCCUCCUCCGCCGCUCCCUUCCCCUGCCUCCCUUGCCUGCCUCCCGAAUCUUCCCUCUUUCACCCAAAAAAUUGUUUCAUCUUCCACCCGCCGCGUCUCCUGCUCGCGGCCACCCCCUCCCUCCUAGCGUUGAUGGAAGAAGCAUGGCCGGCCCUCGGCCCGACGGGCUGCGACGCGGCCUUCCCACCCCCGCCCCAGCCCCCGUGGCGUGGGGCGCGACCGCGACGCGGCGAGAGACGGUGGCCAAGGAAUCGUCCGCGCAGGCGGUGA